CACUGACAUGUGCAUUCCCUAUUAAGUUUUCCCAUCUUCUACACCAUACUUCUAUGUUGUUUGGGGAACAUAGAUAUCCAUUCUGCAUGCACUCAUAUACAGACCAAGUAUUUGGUGGAAACAAUUCUGUUGAUCAAUCAGCCGCACUACUGGAAGAGCUACUUUUUUUCCUUCCAAGAGUGGUUGGCCCCAUAUAGAGCUAUUGAUCUCCAAAGUGAUUAACAUUGCUUAAUUACAACCCCACUUUGAAAUGAAGACUGCAUGUCAAUAGCCACAUAAAUAAAAUUCUAAGGAAACAUCAAAUUUCAGGUGA
rnacentral:lncRNA from 1 species